rnacentral:tRNA from 1 species
GUCGGGUUGGUGUAGUUGGUUAUCACGUCAGUCUAACAAGAUCGCAUCUUGUGAGCACUGAAGGUCGCGCGUUCAAGUCGCGCAUCCGAUA